CCCAGAUUCAGCUCCGUUCCUCAAAGAGCAUGCAGUCUUGCGCAUGGAUAACUAUGGCACUUCAUAGUUAGGGCCUGGGGCCCCCACGAAGGCUGAGAGCCACCCUUUCACAUUUAAGAGGCUGAGAUGCUGUGUCUCCCUGACUAGAGCAGCCUCAGGUUGGGGUGAGUGGAAGUCAUAACGCCACAGAAAUGUCACAGCCAAGGGAGGGACCUGUGGGCUCUUCUCCUUUCACUAUUGGCCAUGGCUAAACUGUGGAGCUUCUAAAUUCACACACGCCACCAGACACUGGGAACGUCCUGACGGGCAUAGAAGAGGAGUACAACAACACUCAGAUGUGGCCCUGGCCUGAGCUGCCCCCCGCUGCUCUUCUGUGUCUCAGUCAAGCCGAGCAGACCUCAGCAGGGGAGCGAGAAGCUGAGAGAAAUCUCCUUAAUGAGUUGAUCACAAGAAUGGAUGCUUUGGUGUCAAUAUUAUGCCCACUAGAAGCUCUAGAGGAACUCAAGAGAAGCUAAAUUCCUUGAUAAAGCUGGGCAUCAUGGGAAGAAAAGACACUCUCUGAGAGACAAGAUGAGAAGGUCUGCCAAGAAGUUUCUCCCAUGAUUGGCGGGAGACCCUGACUCCCUGAUGAAAAGAAGUGAGGGAGAGCCCAGCCUUGGAAGAAGAGAGUGAGGCACCGUGAUCCCAGAUCUGUUUAUUUUUAAGGAAACAAGACAAAAUAAAACAAAACCCCUGAAAGAAUCUAUGUGCCUG
rnacentral:lncRNA from 1 species